rnacentral:rRNA from 1 species
UACAGAGGUCCCAAGCGUUGUUCGGAUUUACUGGGCGUAAAGGGUGCGUAGGUGGUGAGGUAAGUCUGAUGUGAAAUCUCCGAGCUUAACUCGGAAAUGGCAUUGGAAACUACCUUGCUAGAGGGUUGGAGGGGGGACUGGAAUACUUGGUGUAGCAGUGAAAUGCGUAGAUAUCAAGUGGAACACCAGUGGCGAAGGCGAGUCCCUGGACAGUUACUGACACUGAGGCACGAAGGCCAGGGGAGCAAACGGG